rnacentral:misc_RNA from 1 species
GAUGAAGAACGCAGCGAAAUGCGAUACGUAGUGUGAAUUGCAGAAUUCAGUGAAUCAUCGAAUCUUUGAACGCACAUUGCGCCCUUUGGUAUUCCAAAGGGCAUGCCUGUUCGAGCGUCAUUUGUACCCUCAAGCUUUGCUUGGUGUUGGGCGUCUUGUCUCCAGUCCGCUGGAGACUCGCCUUAAAGUCAUUGGCAGCCGGCCUACUGGUUUCGGAGCGCAGCACAAGUCGCACUCUUUUCCAGCAAAGGUCAGCGUCCAACAAGCCUUUUUUCAACUUUUGACCUCGGAUCAGGUAGGGAUACCCGCUGAACUUAAGCAUAUCAAUAAGCGGAGGA